AUACGUAGGUGACAAGCGUUAUCCGGAUUUACUGGGCGUAAAGGGCGUGUAGGCGGUCUUGCAAGUCAGAAGUGAAAUUCCUGAGCUCAACUCGGGCGCUGCUUCUGAAACUGCAGGACUUGAGUGCUGGAGGGGAUAGCGGAAUUCCUAGUGUAGCGGUAAAAUGCGCAGAUAUUAGGAGGAACACCGGUGGCGAAGGCGGCUAUCUGGACAGUAACUGACGCUGAGGCGCGAAAGCACGGGGAGCAAACAGGAUUAGAUACCCUGGUAGUCCGUGCCGUAAACGAUGAAUACUAGGUGUAGGGGGUAUCGACUCCCUCUGUGCCGCAGUUAACACAAUAAGUAUUCCGCCUGGGGAGUACGGCCGCAAGGUUGAAACUCAAAGGAAUUGACGGGG
rnacentral:rRNA from 1 species